rnacentral:rRNA from 1 species
AACGAACGCUGGCGGCAGGCCUAACACAUGCAAGUCGAGCGAGGACUUCGGUCCUAGCGGCGGACGGGUGAGUAACGCGUGGGAACGUGCCCUUUGCUUCGGAAUAGCCCUGGGAAACUGGGAGUAAUACCGGAUGAGCCCUUUGGGGGAAAGAUUUAUCGGCGAAGGAUCGGCCCGCGUUGGAUUAGGUAGUUGGUGGGGUAAUGGCCUACCAAGCCGACGAUCCAUAGCUGGUUUGAGAGGAUGAUCAGCCACACUGGGACUGAGACACGGCCCAGACUCCUACGGGAGGCAGCAGUGGGGAAUCUUAGACAAUGGGGGAAACCCUGAUCUAGCCAUGCCGCGUGAGCGAUGAAGGCCUUAGGGUUGUAAAGCUCUUUCAGCUGGGAAGAUAAUGACGGUACCCGGAGAAGAAGCCCCGGCUAACUUCGUG